rnacentral:rRNA from 2 species
UUCUUGUUGUGCGGCGCGUCCUCCUACUGGUGUCACAGUAUGCAUGACUCUUGGCAACGGAUAUCUAGGCUCUCGCGUCGAUGAAGAACGUAGCGAAAUGCGAUACUUGGUGUGAAUUGCAGAAUCCCGUGAACCAUCGAGUCUUUGAACGCAAGUUGCGCCCGA